rnacentral:rRNA from 1 species
UACGUAGGGUGCAAGCGUUAAUCGGAAUUACUGGGCGUAAAGCGUGCGCAGGCGGUUUUGUAAGUCUGAUGUGAAAUCCCCGGGCUCAACCUGGGAAUUGCAUUGGAGACUGCAAGGCUAGAAUCUGGCAGAGGGGGGUAGAAUUCCACGUGUAGCAGUGAAAUGCGUAGAGAUGUGGAGGAACACCGAUGGCGAAGGCAGCCCCCUGGGUCAAGAUUGACGCUCAUGCACGAAAGCGUGGGGAGCAAACUGG